rnacentral:rRNA from 1 species
CACGUAGGGGGCGAGCGUUGUCCGGAUUUAUUGGGCGUAAAGAGCUCGUAGGCGGCUCAGUAAGUCGGGUGUGAAAUUUCAGGGCUCAACCCUGAACAGCCACCCGAUACUGCUGUGGCUAGAGUCCGGUAGGGGAGCGCGGAAUUCCUGGUGUAGCGGUGAAAUGCGCAGAUAUCAGGAGGAACACCGAUGGCGAAGGCAGCGCUCUGGGCCGGUACUGACGAUGAGGAGCGAAAGCGUGGGGAGCGAACAGG